GUUGAAAGCAAGCUACCUCUCUGCUUUCAACCUAUAGAAAAGGCAGUCGUCCUCCAACAGUAAAAUUGAUUCGGCCUCUAGGUGUUUCUACCCAGCCUGGGCUUUAAAUUUGCAUUUCUAUCGCUCCCUCCAAGCCCGAGGAAGGUAACCCGCGCUUCCCACUUGCCUCAUUAACUUUCUACCACUUUGGUUUCUCACAUUCCUAAUCAAACCCCAUUUUGGAAAUACUAGUCAUUUCUCAGAAGCUUGAGAAACUUUUUGCUUUCUCCUUGUGUGAAGUUUUAGGGGGAAAAAAAAGUUUAUUUUCCCCUCUAGCCUUAUUUUGACUUGGCUGAAGUCACUGGAGACAGCACAAACUUUGCAUUUUGAUGAGGCCUCUUUCGAAUGUGCCAGCACUGCAGCUGAAUUUCAAUGAUUCUCAACAGCUGAGUAUCAGAGAAGCCCACUCCCAGGGCUUCUAUGUCGUCUAGAGCGCUGAACAAGCUCUAGCGAUGCUGUUGCCAAGCCCUUCAAUUCCUUCACCUCUGCUGGCUUGCAUUCCACAUACCAUGAAACAGCCCAGCCUGAGAGUUACCCUACUCUGCUGCCUCGACUCCACACUUCGGCCGAAGGAGAAAAUCCCAGUGAAUCUGCAAGACAUUUGAAACAAUACUUGACUCUCACCAUCACCGUUGCUUCAAGACGCAUUCAGUCCUUAACGCUUUGUGAUCUGAUGUCCAUCUGGGCCACCCUCCUGAAGAAACGCUUCGUCAAGAAAUCUAAGGAAUUCCUGCUUUAUAAAUGCACAGUGGCCCUGAUGAGAAAAAUCCCCGUCUGACAAGCUCCCAUCUCUCUUCAUACCAUCUCCUGCCAAUGUUGAUACAAUAUUUAUUAAGGCUUAAAUAGCACCGUUAAGUGCACACGUUGAUUUAGAAUGAUGGAGUGUGUCAACACAGAGAACAGGAACUCAGCCGCAGAGUAGCGACCCCCCAAAGGACAAGGA
ensembl:lncRNA